GACGAACGCUGGCGGCGUGCCUAAUACAUGCAAGUUGAGCGCUGAAGGUUGGUACUUGUACCGACUGGAUGAGCAGCGAACGGGUGAGUAACGCGUGGGGAAUCUGCCUUUGAGCGGGGGACAACAUUUGGAAACGAAUGCUAUUACCGCAUAAAAACUUUAAACACAAGUUUUAAGUUUGAAAGAUGCAAUUGCAUCACUCAAAGAUGAUCCCGCGUUGUAUUAGCUAGUUGGUGAGGUAAAGGCUCACCAAGGCGAUGAUACAUAGCCGACCUGAGAGGGUGAUCGGCCACAUUGGGACUGAGACACGGCCCAAACUCCUACGGGAGGCAGCAGUAGGGAAUCUUCGGCAAUGGACGAAAGUCUGACCGAGCAACGCCGCGUGAGUGAAGAAGGUUUUCGGAUCGUAAAACUCUGUUGGUAGAGAAGAACGUUGGUGAGAGUGGAAAGCUCAUCAAGUGACGGUAACUACCCAGAAAGGGACGGCUAACUACGUG
rnacentral:rRNA from 1 species